rnacentral:rRNA from 1 species
CGACUUAUAUUCUGUAGCAAGGUUAACCGAAUAGGGGAGCCGAAGGGAAACCGAGUCUUAACCGGGCGUUAAGUUGCAGGGUAUAGACCCGAAACCCGGUGAUCUAGCCAUGGGCAGGUUGAAGGUUGGGUAACACUAACUGGAGGACCGAACCGACUAAUGUUGAAAAAUUAGCGGAUGACUUGUGGCUGGGGGUGAAAGGCCAAUCAAACCGGGAGAUAGCUGGUUCUCCCCGAAAGCUAUUUAGGUAGCGCCUCGUGAAUUCAUCUCCGGGGGUAGAGCACUGUUUCGGCAAGGGGGUCAUCCCGACUUACCAACCCGAUGCAAACUGCGAAUACCGGAGAAUGUUAUCACGGGAGACACACGGCGGGUGCUAACGUCCGUCGUGAAGAGGGAAACAACCCAGACCGCCAGCUAAGGUCCCAAAGUCAUGGUUAAGUGGGAAACGAUGUGGGAAGGCCCAGACAGCCAGGAUGUUGGCUUAGAAGCAGCCAUCAUUUAAAGAAAGCGUAAUAGCUCACUGGUCGAGUCGGCCUGCGCGGAAGAUGUAACGGGGCUAAACCAUGCACCGAAGCUGCGGCAGCGACACUGUGUGUUGUUGGGUAGGGGAGCGUUCUGUAAGCCUGUGAAGGUGUGCUGUGAGGCAUGCUGGAGGUAUCAGAAGUGCGAAUGCUGACAUAAGUAACGAUAAAGCGGGUGAAAAGCCCGCUCGCCGGAAGACCAAGGGUUCCUGUCCAACGUUAAUCGGGGCAGGGUGAGUCGACCCCUAAGGCGAGGCCGAAAGGCGUAGUCGAUGGGAAACAGGUUAAUAUUCCUGUACUUGGUGUUACUGCGAAGGGGGGACGGAGAAGGCUAUGUUGGCCGGGCGACGGUUGUCCCGGUUUAAGCGUGUAGGCUGGUUUUCCAGGCAAAUCCGGAAAAUCAAGGCUGAGGCGUGAUGACGAGGCACUACGGUGCUGAAGCAACAAAUGCCCUGCUUCCAGGAAAAGCCUCUAAGCAUCAGGUAACAUCAAAUCGUACCCCAAACCGACACAGGUGGUCAGGUAGAGAAUACCAAGGCGCUUGAGAGAACUCGGGUGAAGGAACUAGGCAAAAUGGUGCCGUAACUUCGGGAGAAGGCACGCUGAUAUGUAGGUGAAGUCCCUCGCGGAUGGAGCUGAAAUCAGUCGAAGAUACCAGCUGGCUGCAACUGUUUAUUAAAAACACAGCACUGUGCAAACACGAAAGUGGACGUAUACGGUGUGACGCCUGCCCGGUGCCGGAAGGUUAAUUGAUGGGGUCAGCGCAAGCGAAGCUCUUGAUCGAAGCCCCGGUAAACGGCGGCCGUAACUAUAACGGUCCUAAGGUAGCGAAAUUCCUUGUCGGGUAAGUUCCGACCUGCACGAAUGGCGUAAUGAUGGCCAGGCUGUCUCCACCCGAGACUCAGUGAAAUUGAACUCGCUGUGAAGAUGCAGUGUACCCGCGGCAAGACGGAAAGACCCCGUGAACCUUUACUAUAGCUUGACACUGAACAUUGAGCCUUGAUGUGUAGGAUAGGUGGGAGGCUUUGAAGUGUGGACGCCAGUCUGCAUGGAGCCGACCUUGAAAUACCACCCUUUAAUGUUUGAUGUUCUAACGUGGACCCGUGAUCCGGGUUGCGGACAGUGUCUGGUGGGUAGUUUGACUGGGGCGGUCUCCUCCUAAAGAGUAACGGAGGAGCACGAAGGUUGGCUAAUCCUGGUCGGACAUCAGGAGGUUAGUGCAAUGGCAUAAGCCAGCUUGACUGCGAGCGUGACGGCGCGAGCAGGUGCGAAAGCAGGUCAUAGUGAUCCGGUGGUUCUGAAUGGAAGGGCCAUCGCUCAACGGAUAAAAGGUACUCCGGGGAUAACAGGCUGAUACCGCCCAAGAGUUCAUAUCGACGGCGGUGUUUGGCACCUCGAUGUCGGCUCAUCACAUCCUGGGGCUGAAGUAGGUCCCAAGGGUAUGGCUGUUCGCCAUUUAAAGUGGUACGCGAGCUGGGUUUAGAACGUCGUGAGACAGUUCGGUCCCUAUCUGCCGUGGGCGCUGGAGAACUGAGGGGGGCUGCUCCUAGUACGAGAGGACCGGAGUGGACGCAUCACUGGUGUUCGGGUUGUCAUGCCAAUGGCACUGCCCGGUAGCUAAAUGCGGAAGAGAUAAGUGCUGAAAGCAUCUAAGCACGAAACUUGCCCCGAGAUGAGUUCUCCCUGACCCUUUAAGGGUCCUGAAGGAACGUUGAAGACGACGACGUUGAUAGGCCGGGUGUGUAAGCGCAGCGAUGCGUUGAGCUAACCGGUACUAAUGAACCGUGAGGCUUAACCU